GGAAGUAAAAGUCAUAACAAGGUUUCCGUAGGUGAACCUGCGGAAGGAUCAUUAUUGUAUAACCGAGGUGCGAGGGCUGUCGCUGACCCGAAAGGUCGUGCACGCCCGAGUGCCCUCACACACAUCCAUCUCACCCCUAUGUGCACCACCGCGUGGGUCCCCCUUUGGCUUGUUCGGAGGGGGGCUUACGUUUUCACACAAACUUUGUAUGCAGUGUAGAAUGUACUUUUUGUUUUUGCGAUCACGCAAUCAAUACAACUUUCAACAACGGAUCUCUUGGCUCUC
rnacentral:misc_RNA from 1 species